CUGGUUGAUCCUGCCAUAUUCUUGUCCCAAAGAUUAAGCCAAGUCUUAGUACACACGGCCAGUACAGUGAAACUUUGCAUGGCUCAUUAAAUCAGUUAAGAUUCUAUUAAAUCACUCCAAUGUUACUUGAAUAACUGUGGCAAUUGUAGCGCUAAGAUAUGCCAACAAGUGUUGGCCGAAAACCGAUACGGGGACCCUUCGUGGCACUGGCAUCUCAUUCAAAUAUCUGCCCUAUCAACUUUCAAUGGUAAUUUGUGCCUACCAUGGUGACGACUGGUAACGGAAAAUCAGGGUUCGACUACGUAGAGGGAGCCUGAGAAACGGCUAGCACAUCCAAGGAAGGAAGCAGGCAAGGAAAUGAGCCACUCCCGAUUCGGGGAAGUACUGACAAAAAAUAAUAACACAGGACUCUUUGGAGUCCCUGUAAUUGGAAUGAGUACACUUCAAAUCUUUUAAUGAGGAUUCAUUACUGAUGUUUAGGAU
rnacentral:ncRNA from 1 species